CCCUUAGAUGUUCUGGGCCGCACGCGCGCUACACUGAUGCAUUCAACAAGCCUAGCCUUGACCGAGAGGUCCGGGUAAUCUUUGAAACUGCAUCGUGAUGGGGCUAGAUUAUUGCAAUUAUUAAUCUUCAACGAGGAAUGCCUAGUAAGCGUGAUUCAUCAAAUCGCGUUGAUUACGUCCCUGCCCUUUGUACACACCGCCCGUCGCUCCUACCGAUUGAAUGUGUUGGUGAGGAGCUCGGAUUGGCAGCAGUUGGAGGUUCGCCACCGGCUAUUGCUGAGAAGUCCUCCAAACCGCCCCAUUUAGAGGAAGGAGAAGUCGUAACA
rnacentral:rRNA from 1 species